GGUUCCAUAGUGUAGUGAUUAGCACAUCUGCUUUACAUGCAGAGGAUCCUGGGUUCACACCCCAGUGGAGCCA
rnacentral:tRNA from 1 species